UGACAGGUGGAUACUUUUUGUACCCCAUGA
rnacentral:piRNA from 1 species